GCUUAUGCUCUUGGUGUUUUCAUUUGUUUGAUUUGCUGUUGUCUUUGUUUCAACAAAAUAUACUUGUAUGCAGAAGUAAAGAAAUUAUUGAAGCAUGCAAUAUGUAAAUAAUUGAGGUAGGUAAGGAUGGGUUAAUUAUUUAUCUUUGAAUGAAAGUUUAAAAUAUUAUGCAAUUUAAUCCUUCUAAUUUUGUGUAUAUAAAUGGACAACCACUCUUCUCUUAUUGUCUAUCUAAAUGCUUUUUUUUCUUUCUAUUUCUCCCAACAUCUUUUCUGGUUCUCCAAACAUAUUUGUAACAAAUUCUCUGCAAAUACACCACUAACAAGGAGCACGUUGGGGAGGAUGAGGAUGUUAGUAUAAAAUGAUAGUUUUUCCUUCAAUCUAACAAACAAUAAGAGGUCUUAGGGGGCAAUUCCUGCACAAAAAAAGAAUGAGAGAAAAAGGGACUGCAUUGAAUAUGAAGUAGACACCCAGAAAAACUAAAUACCUCAGGGCGGAGAAUUCGAUCCAUCUCUACAAAUAACUCCACCAAACUACACCUCUCUGAAGUAAGAUGUGAGAGGAGCCCAUUCGCAUGAAGCAAGUCGUAUGUUCGAGGAUAUGUUGGGAAGGGUUCA